UGCCAAGAAUCACCAAAUUGAAGGGCAGAACUAGCUCAAAUCAGAUGCAUGAACACGAAUUCAUGAUCACCUAGUCAUGGGGAUUACAAGAUGGAGGCUUGGGCAAGGAGCGGGUCAAACGGAUCGGGUACGCGAAAAAGGAGCAUAACCGGAUGCAAGGAGCAAUUAACGAUUCGGAUACUCCCGUCAC